GUGUCUUGGCCGAAACAGAAAGUCGCCAUUGUUCAUUUUCAUGGCGUGUAUAGCCACUGAUAACUCGUUUCUUACUGUGCUUUAUUGAUGGGAAUUCUCAUCUUGUGACUCCCUAUUUCUUAUCUGAUUCUCUGAGAUUAGGCUGGAUUAGGCCCUAGAUUUGAUUUCGUGUCAUUUGUGUCUACGAUUGCCUUAUUGACCGGCUCCUAAUUGUGGAUGCUAGGCAAUUUGUGCUCUGUGCAUUUUAUGUUGACGAAUAAACCCGUGAUUCUCUGAGAAGCAAUUGAUAGGCCUACGCCUCCCUCUUCGACCGUCCCAUUCUCUCGCUGAAACA
rnacentral:lncRNA from 1 species